rnacentral:rRNA from 1 species
UAAUACCGGAUAAGCCCACGGUAUCUUUGGAUUCUGCGGGAAAAGGGGGGGACCUUCGGGCCUUCUGUCAUCAGAUGAGUCUGCGUACCAUUAGCUAGUUGGUAGGGUAAUGGCCUACCAAGGCUACGAUGGUUAGCUGGUUUGAGAGAAUGAUCAGCCACACUGGAACUGAGACACGGUCCAGACUCCUACGGGAGGCAGCAGUGGGGAAUUUUGCGCAAUGGGCGAAAGCCUGACGCAGCAACGCCGCGUGAGUGAUGAAGGCUUUCGGGUCGUAAAGCUCUGUCGAUGGGAAAGAAGUGUAUUGGGGCUAAUAUCCUUGAUACUUGACGGUACCCAUAAAGGAAGCACCGGCUAACUCCGUGCCAGCAGCCGCGGUAAUACGGGGGGUGCAAGCGUUGUUCGGAUUUAUUGGGCGUAAAGAGCGUGUAGGCGGUUUGUUUAGUCUGAUGUGAAAGCCCUGGGCUCAACCCAGGAAGUGCAUUGGAAACUGGCAGACUUGAAUACGGGAGAGGGCAGUGGAAUUCCUAGUGUAGGAGUGAAAUCCGUAGAUAUUAGGAGGAACACCGGUGGCGAAGGCGGCUGCCUGGACCGAUAUUGACGCUGAGACGCGAAAGCGUGGGUAGCAAACAGGAUUAGAUACCCUGGUAGUCC